AGUUUGAUCCUGGCUCAGAGCGAACGCUGGCGGCAGGCUUAACACAUGCAAGUCGAACGCCCCGCAAGGGGAGUGGCAGACGGGUGAGUAACGCGUGGGAACAUACCCUUUUCUACGGAAUAGCUCUGGGAAACUGGAAUUAAUACCGUAUACGCCCUACGGGGGAAAGAUUUAUCGGGGAAGGAUUGGCCCGCGUUGGAUUAGCUAGUUGGUGGGGUAAAGGCCUACCAAGGCGACGAUCCAUAGCUGGUCUGAGAGGAUGAUCAGCCACAUUGGGACUGAGACACGGCCCAAACUCCUACGGGAGGCAGCAGUGGGGAAUAUUGGACAAUGGGCGCAAGCCUGAUCCAGCCAUGCCGCGUGAGUGAUGAAGGCCUUAGGGUUGUAAAGCUCUUUCACCGAUGAAGAUAAUGACGGUAGUCGGAGAAGAAGCCCCGGCUAACUUCGUGCCAGCAGCCGCGGUAA
rnacentral:rRNA from 1 species